CCUACGGGAGGCAGCAGUGGGGAAUAUUGCACAAUGGGGGAAACCCUGAUGCAGCGACGCCCGCGUGGAGGAAGAAGGUCUUCGGAUUGUAAACUCCUGUUGUUGAGGAAGAUAAUGACGGUACUCAACAAGGAAGUGACGGCUAACUACGUGC
rnacentral:rRNA from 1 species